CGCGUAGGCGGCUCGUUAAGUGGCUGGUGAAAUCCCGGGGCUCAACUCCGGGGCUGCCGGUCAGACUGGCGGGCUCGAGCACGGUAGAGGCGGAUGGAAUUCCCGGUGUAGCGGUGGAAUGCGUAGAUAUCGGGAAGAAUACCGGUGGCGAAGGCGUUCCGCUGGGCCGUUGCUGACGCUGAGGCGCGACAGCGUGGGGAGCAAACA
rnacentral:rRNA from 1 species